CCUANGGGAGGCAGCAGUCGAGAGGCUUCGGCAAUGGGGGAAACCCUGACCGAGCGACGCCGCGUGGGUGAUGAAGUUUCUCGGAACGUAAAACCCUGUCAGGUGGGAUGAAAUACCAUUUGGUUAACACCCAAGUGGCUUGACAGUACCACCAGAGGAAGCUCCGGCUAACUCCGUGCCAGCAGCCGCGGUAACACGGGGGGAGCAAGCGUUGUUCGGAUUCAUUGGGCGUAAAGAGCUCGUAGGUGGCUCUGUAAGUCGGAGGUGAAAGACCACGGCUCAACCGUGGAAACGCCUUCGAAACUGUGGAGCUUGAGGCUGGGAGAGGGAAUCGGAAUUCCUGGUGUAGCGGUGAAAUGCGUAGAUAUCAGGAGGAACACCGGUGGCGAAGGCGGAUUCCUGGACCAGUUCUGACACUGAGGAGCGAAAGCUAGGGGAGCAAACAGGAUUAGAUACCCGUNUANUC
rnacentral:rRNA from 1 species